AGUGUAGGCGGUCAAGCAAGUCAGGGGUGAAAGGCAUCGGCUCAACCGAUGUAAGCCUUUGAAACUGUUUGACUUGAGUGCAGGAGAGGAAAGUGGAAUUCCUAGUGUAGCGGUGAAAUGCGUAGAUAUUAGGAGGAACACCAGUGGCGAAGGCGACUUUCUGGACUGUAACUGACGCUGAGGCUCGAAAGCGUGGGGAGCGAACA
rnacentral:rRNA from 1 species